UACCUGUUCUGUUCAUUCCCUCUGGGGCACCUGGCACUGGUCACUGUCAGAAGACAGAAUACUGGCUAGAUGAACCUUUGGUCUGACCCAUUAUUGCUGUUCUUAUGUUUACUACCACUGGACUACUCACAAGAGCAUAUGUGAAAAGGUUUGCAGUAUCAGGGUACUUAGCAAAUAUUGGUAGAGUAAGAAAACACUAACGCUGAUAAUUUUUAACCAAUAUUAAUGCACGUUUUGUUCACUAUGUGUACGUACAGUCCAUGUUAAUCAAAAAUAGAUUCAGCUAAUUUCUGUGCUUUAAAAGAGCAAACUUGCAUUCUCUGAAUAAUCAGUGUUUACAAAAAUAUUUUGCAGAAAACUCUUUCAGGACUGUGCAUGCAUGUGUGUGAAGAGAAUUGAGACCAAAAAAUAAUUAAAUGGGGAACCUUUUGUAAUUAUACAGUAACAACUUACCACUUUUCAGAACAAGAAUAUGAACUGAUGACUUUCUUUGGACAGUUGUUUGAAGCCAAAACCUGAGGCAAUGCCCAAAGCAAUUAAAAUACAGUUUUUGAAAUGCACAGAUAAAGAAACUUGUGAGGAAGAUAAUAAUCAAGCACUACCAGAUUUAUAUGUACUUCACUGUACCCCUUAAGUGUGUGAACAAAUGGUUGUGGAAUGAAUAAAAAGGACAUGUGAGCAACAUGGGCCUACAACUUACAAUUCGAUAUGUGCACAUCUGCACUUCAUCACUGAUGGGAAAUGCCAUUUCUUUGGCGAAACUAGUGAGGUGGGCACUUUAAGAACAGAGUGACAUUGCAUUAAGAAAUAGCUUCACAUUCACUGCCAGUGCUUACAUCGGUGGAUGACAUUCACCCGCCGACAUAGCUUCUGCUUCUUGUCGAGGUGAAGUAAUUCUGCCGACAAGAGAGCUCUAUCCUGUUGGCAUAGUGCAGACGCGCUACAGCUGCAUCAGUGCAGCUUUGUUGAUGUAGCAUUGUAGUGUAGACAUACCCUGAGAUCCAGACAGGACACAGGCCGAAUCCACAAAGGGACUUAAGUAUAGCAGUGCCUAACUUUUUUAGGUGUCUGGCCACCCAGUGGAAUCUAGAAACCCUGAAUUAGUUGCUCAGGUGAGAUAGACAGGGGAACAUCUAGUUUCACCUAGUUUGAGGAUCCCAUGUGGCCCCUAUACUGAGGGGUUGUGUGCAUGCCCAGAGCCCAAAACAUAGGUGAUUAGGGGACAUCUACAGCAGAAAUUUAGGCACCAUUGGAUUUUAGGCACCUCUGAGGGCUAGGUGGCAGUUUAAUGGGGAUUGUGAGGUUCUCAAUGGUGCCUACUUUUUGGAUUUUAGGUACCUAAAUCCUUUUGUGACUCUGGGCCUCAGUUGCUUCCUGGCUAUUUUGUAAUCUAGGAAAUAUUCUCCUUUAAGCAACUGUAAUGAGCCUUUCAGCUUCUAACCAUACAUUUAAUUGUUGUUCUGCUGAUAUAAAAUUGCAUAAUAAUAUGAGUUCCUGAAUGGGUUAAUUAUUGUGAUAUUUAAGGACAUGCAAGUUUUUAGAGGCUGGUUAUGUUGGUAGACUAAAAAACAGGUUUUAUGUAAAAUGAAUCCGAUCUAUAAAAUGAAUCUCCAAUUUCACCCUGGAAGUAAAAGAUCGUAAUCAGAAUAAAUGCCCAUUAUGAAAAUUAAAAUAAGAACACAAAACCAGAAAUUAAUUUUGAUUACCAGUAUACAUCCUAUCUAAAUGGUACAUUGAAAAUGAGAGGUGAGAUGAACAAUCGAGAAAUCUGUGAGAGAGCAAUGAAUUCCAUCAUAUUAAAGCUUUUCAUUUUGAUAAAAGCAACAAAAUUGACAAAACACUUAGGUGGAAAAGACAUAACAAUGUUAUCAGAAAUCCUGUCUAGCCAACGCACAAUAGUAUAAUCUUGCUGAAAUAAGUGAAGAAUUUGUAGAGUAUAUUUGAGUCCUAUAUAGUUUAGAAAGGGGAGAUUAUCUGCCUAUGUUCUUUAUAUUGGUGCACACCAUUAUUAGAAUGCCUCCAAAAUCUCAUUAGACCAGUAGUCCGCUUUCCCUGCCUCCUGAAGCAGUAGAAGCUAUUUUUUUUAAAGUAUUCACUUUCUCUCUACUUACCUGUCUCCUGCUUCUCUCUCUCUCUCUCUCUCUCUCUCUCUCUCUCCCUUUUUGCCUUCACUGCUUUUUCUUUCUUUUCCUUUUUUGCUGUUCAAAAUAGCAGCUGGGCAAUAAUAGUUGGAAGUAAAUUUAACACUUUGUUCUGAGGGCAGAGAGAUUUGUGGUCCUUCAUUACUGGUGCUGAGUUUCAAAGCUUUGGCCUUGUUUCCAAAUAAGACUUUUCACCUACUCUCAGGAACUGCAAUUUUGAACUUGGCUGCUUCAUAGUUCCUGAGGAAUGUUGAGGGAAAUCUUUGUCUUAGAAAGCAUCUGUGGUGCAUUGGGCCAAUUCCAUAGAAGGCCUUGAAGUUCAGCACAAAGGUGUUGAAUGCUGUCUUUAGCUAACAAAUCUGGGCCUGAUCCUGAUCCCAUUGCCAUCAAUAGUAAAACUCUCAUUGACUCCAUAUUGAUGAUUUUGAGCAUUUUGAUGAUUGACUACAUUUAUUUGACAGCUUCUUAAAAAUACCUUCAUGUUUCCAUUUUAAUUGUAUAUACUGUGGCACAGGCUCAGUUGCUGUGACUCCAUAGUUAGAGGAACAGCCAGCAUACAUUAUUGAACUAUCCCUGAAAAAUACAUGUUGUAGCACAGUUUUUUUUAAAAAAAGUAUCUAUUUAAGAAUCUAUAUCUUAAUAGUCAUAACUGCCCCCGUAGCUUGCUAUCCUUCUAAUGUUUUUAUCCAGGAUAAAACAGUUUUGCAGCUUUUUAUAUGUUAGAUUGUUUAACUAAAUUCUUCAGAACAUCUAAUUAGGUGGUUUUGUGAUUCAUCACUGGAGUUCUUAGGUUUGGUAGAUUGUGAUCUAGUUUAAAUGUUCACUUCCGGUAUGAGGCAUAAGUGUUAAUCACAUGAAUAGUUGCAUGUAUGUCAGUAGAAAAAUUUUCAUGACGGAGGAUUGCUUGCAUGAGUAGGUGCUGCAGACUGAGCCUUUAUCAAGUCAACAAUCUGUAUUGUUUUUACAAUGUAUGCUGAGUGUAUUUAGGUCUUUUCUGAGUUAAAUAACCUUAAAUUGAAAUAGUUUAAUUCAUGAAUGUUGAUAAUUAUUAAGCAGACAUUCUAAGCAUAUUAGUAUUUUGCUCCCAGAUUGUCUGCCUUUGGGUAGUUCUUAAUAACAUUAGUAACCAGAAAAGUUAGCUUGGAAGUUUGAGGAUAGAAGUAUUGCUCCUACACCAAAAGCACAGCAUGACAAUUACAUAACUUUUAAGAGAAUCAUGAUUUCUUAUUUUGCUACAUUUAUCAUUUUGGAGGCUGAGUCAGUACUCUUUCCACAGAAGCAUAUGGAAUAGAUUUCUUAUUAGUAUUAUGAUGGCUUGUAGUUGUAAAUAUUGCAAAAG